AUACUACUCCCUCCGUCCGUAAUUACUUGUCGUACAAAUGAAUAAAAAUGGAUGUAUCUAGAACUAAAAUACAUCUAGUAACAUCCAUUCUUAUGACAAGUAUUUCCGUAUGGAGGGAGUACAUC
rfam:Hordeum vulgare subsp. vulgare, WGS project CAJW01000000 data, contig: morex_contig_1575180